rnacentral:rRNA from 1 species
UACGUAGGGUGCGAGCGUUGUCCGGAAUCACUGGGCGUAAAGCGCACGUAGGCGGAUUGUUAAGUCAGGGGUGAAAUCCUGGAGCUCAACUCCAGAACUGCCUUUGAUACUGGCGAUCUUGAGUCCGGGAGAGGUGAGUGGAACUGCGAGUGUAGAGGUGAAAUUCGUAGAUAUUCGCAAGAACACCAGUGGCGAAGGCGGCUCACUGGCCCGGUACUGACGCUGAGGUGCGAAAGCGUGGGGAGCAAACAGGG